rnacentral:rRNA from 1 species
GACGAACCGUGCGAACGUUAUUCGGAAUCACUGGGCUUAAAGCGCGUGUAGGCGGCUCGGCGCGUCGGUCGCUGAAAUCCCCCGGCUCAACCGGGGAAGGGGCACCGAUACGGCCGGGCUGGAGGGGGGUAGGGGGCGCUGGAACUCACGGUGGAGCGGUGAAAUGCGUUGAGAUCGUGAGGAACGCCCGCGGCGAAAGCGAGCGCCUGGACCCUUUCUGACGCUGAGACGCGAAAGCCAGGGGAGCGAACGGG